rnacentral:rRNA from 1 species
GAUUUGAGAAUUUCCCAGUAUACUCUACUCGGGUUAGUCCAGAUCAAGUUUUUGUGAGGAAAUUUUUUCGUCAUUAGGUUGAUGAUUAAAUGGACUUGCAUCUUUUACUGUGAAAAAAUUAGAGUGUUUAAAGCAGGCGUUCGCUCGUUGAAUACAUUAGCAUGGAAUAAUAAGAUACGACCUUGGUAGUAUUUUGUUGGUUUGUACACCAGGUA